AAUACGUCUUGGACAUUUUUCUCGCAUUUUCCGCGGUGGCGUCUAAUUCCAAAAAGCGGCUAUGGAGGAGCUUUUGGAGGACAAAAACUACAAACUGCUGACUAAUAAGCAUACUGCGCCGCUCACCCGACUGCAACAAAAUUGGCCAGACUUGACGUAGCAGCCCGACGCAGGCGGAACGAAUGCUCGUUGGUCACCUUUUAUAAUGGUCACAGGACCUGGCCCAGCUGUGAAAGCCACACAAAGAUUUUGCGUUGCAUAUGAGACUGCCACCAUAGACUAAUUGCCACUUUUAAAUCCGGACCAUCUUCAUCGCCAUGAGAGCCGUUUUGCAAGACAUUCCUUUAUUUCUCCUUGUUCUUAAGAUAUCAAUAAAUCGUUAAUGUGUUUUAUUUCCUGGUUUUGUGUU